UGUCUAUCAGUCUUUUUGAUUUGUCGUUUCAGACGACUGACAAGAAAACCCUGGAGGAACUAAUUGUUAUGUACCAGAAUUCACAUGAAACUUACAAAAACGAACUUGAAGCUUUACGAACACGCGUAGCAGAGGGCUUGUCCAUAAUUGAGAGAGAGAAGGAGACAAAAAAAUCCAGCCCCAGUUGGAUAUGAAGGCGUUGUCAGCAAUUGCUCUUCCUGAAAGCAAAGAGGAUGAUGACGAUGAUUGAUUUUAUGGUGAAAAUAGAAGGCUGCACUUUUAACUUAAGCAAUGUCAAAGCAAAGAUAUUUGUUUCUGGCCUUUGCAAAGAAUGUUUGAACUUUGCCUGUCAUCUUAUGGGUAAGCCGGAAGCAAAGACAAUGAAUGUGCUAUAUCUGUGAUAUUUGUAUUGAUUGUGAAAGAGAAUAGCUCUAAGUCUAAGACUUGUAGAUUGGCACAUGUGAUUUGUAAUGUUUUUCCAGCAGACUUAUUUUUGUGCAGCUUGUACUUCCAGUACUUAUUUCACUGAUUUCUCCAUGUUGCUGUCAUUUAAAUACUUGGUACAUGUAUAAUGUUAUACACUGGAACUCGGAUUCAGCGAAUUCAGAUUCAACAAAAACUCGGAUUCAACAAAAAAGAAGUGUAUUCCCCAUUUGUUUUAUUCUUUAUAAUCAUUUGAAAUAAUUCGCAUUCAGCUAAUAUACUAAUAAGCAAGCUCGGAUUCAACGAAGUUGCUUACAGGGUAAAUGGUCCUCACUGACAUGGCUUCGCCCAAUUUACUCCGGCAACGAACCUUAUGUAUUCCUGGAAACCAUCCACAGUACUACAUUGUGAACCAUUAUUUGCUUAGCCUAUCGUUUAUAUCUCAUGCGACUUAUCAGUGGCCUUCUUUCAUACACACUCAUUGUUGGCACGAGCAUGUGUUCAAGUUUUCCACAAUAAAAACAAACUUGGUAC